rnacentral:rRNA from 1 species
UCCAGACUCCUACGGGAGGCAGCAGUGGGGAAUAUUGCACAAUGGGGGAAACCCUGAUGCAGCGACGCCGCGUGAAGGAAGAAGUAUUUCGGUAUGUAAACUUCUAUCAGCAGGGAAGAAAAUGACGGUACCUGACUAAGAAGCCCCGGCUAACUACGUGCCAGCAGCCGCGGUAAUACGUAGGGGGCAAGCGUUAUCCGGAUUUACUGGGUGUAAAGGGAGCGUAGGCGGUAAUGCAAGUCAGAAGUGAAAGCCCGGGGCUCAACUCCGGGACUGCUUUUGAAACUGUUAAGCUUGAGUGCAGGAGAGGUAAGCGGAAUUCCUAGUGUAGCGGUGAAAUGCGUAGAUAUUAGGAGGAACACCAGUGGCGAAGGCGGCUUACUGGACUGUAACUGACACUGAGGCUCGAAAGCGUGGGGAGCAAACAGGAUUAGAUACCCUGGUAC